ACCAAAGGGGCGUGGCUAAGAAGUGGGCGGGGCUAAGAAGUGGGCGGGGCUAUGGUGUAUGGGUGCGUGGCUAUGAAGUGGGCACAGUUAUGCCGUAUAGGGGCGGGGAGAGCUAAGGGGAAGAAGGUUCGAGGAAGGAGGCUCGGUGUCAUGGGAGACCGUACACCUGAUUCGAGCACUCGAGUGCAAUCUCAGCUUGAGAGCGCUGGCAAAAGAAGAAGGAGCAGCAGCACGAGCCUCCCGCACAUCUCAGAAAUGCCCUCAAAUGUCAAAGUUUGAUCCUUCUUUCAUGGAAGAGGCUGAAGUCUUGCUGGGAAUGAGCUGCUUGGCUCUGGGAAAGCUCUCACUGGGUCAGGAGCGACUACCAAGGGCUGAAAAUGUAGAAUAGAAACUACAUCUGGAAUUGCAGAUUUGAUGGUGCCCAGAAACACCACAGUGGGACUGUUCCACUCUCAACAUUAAAGGCUCGAAGACCAGAAGCAACUUGAAAG